CACCCUCCCCUUCCCUUUCCCCCUUUCUCUCCAAAACCCUAGCCGCCUUUGCGCGAUUUUCUCUCUCCUCGUCAUCCAUGACUUUUUAUGGUAAAAUGGCAGAAAAAUGAGGGCUUGCUCAAGUUAGCAUGGCCAAAACGAGCAAAGCAUUGAAUGCUCUCACUCGUUUUCACCUAAUGCUGCCCAAACACGUUACUAUCUCUUUUUUUUCCGGCAUUUUUACAUAUUCAACGGUAAGAACUCUGAAAAUCUCUUAAUGAGUUUUGUUUGCAUCCUAUUUUGAACUUUGGUUUCUCAUUGGUUUAUGACUGGUCGCACGGAUCGACCUUUUUUAGGUCAGAUCUGACCUUUCCUUUACUCGAUUUAGCGAUUGUUAGUUGUCAGAUGGGAUUUGAGACGAGAAUUUUCAAUUUUUUUUGAAAGUCCCACAUCGGUCGAAAUUUGGGUUUUACAUCAAUUUAGGGGUUAUAAAUAGAAGUCCUAAUUUUCAGAAAGAAGAGGAGGAACACUGAAUACAUAGGGUUUCUAGCUUCGUUGCUUAAAACCUUUAAUUUUUAGUGAAGUAAGAAUUAAAAAAAAAAAAAAAGAAUUUUUGGUUUACUUGUUUUCUUGGUGUGGUCGGGUGAGUUUGAGCUUUGGGGGGAUCAACUUGAGAUUCCAAGUCUAAAUUCUCGAUCUAAGGCUGCACUCUUAGGAGGAUAAGAUGCCCGGAGAGCAUAACGGAGCAAAACAAAGCAAAAUAGAGCAAAAAUAGAACAAAAAGCACUUUCUGGCAGCACAUGCUAGUAGCACUUGCUGCAGCAUGUUGGGCAUGCGAGCAGAACUUGCUGCAGCAUGUGCUGACAGAGAUAUUUGCACAACAUGCUACGGUUUGGCACAACAUGCGACUCGCAUGUUGCACAUGCGACACAAGAUGCGAGUAGCAUGUUGUGCACGCAGGGUAUUUUUGUCCAGAUUUUGUUCCCGUUUUGGCACUUCUAUAAAUAGAAUGCUAGGGUUUGUAAAACUUAUCUUUGGCCAUUUUGCAAGCUUUGGAGCUAGGGUUUUUACACCACACCUUUGGAGGAGAAGAUUGGAGCUCUUUAAUGAUAAAUUUCUUAAUCCUUUCUUCAAUUCCUUGCUUUGUAUUGCAUAUUUAAGUGUGUUGUAUUUUAUUCCAUUACUUGAAACUUGUUUAUGAAAAUAUACAUUGUUAAA